CCUACGGGAGGCUGCAGUGGGGAAUAUUGGACAAUGGGGGGAACCCUGAUCCAGCGACGCCGCGUGAGUGAAGAAGUAUUUCGGUAUGUAAAGCUCUAUCAGCAGGGAAGAAAAUGACGGUACCUGACUAAGAAGCCCCGGCUAACUACGUGCCAGCAGCCGCGGUAAUACGUAGGGGGCAAGCGUUAUCUGGAUUUACUGGGUGUAAAGGGAGCGUAGACGGUGCAGCAAGUCUGAUGUGAAAGGUCGGGGCCCAACCCCGGGACUGCAUUGGAAACUGUUGAACUGGAGUACAGGAGAGGUAAGCGGAAUUCCUAGUGUAGCGGUGAAAUGCGUAGAUAUUAGGAGGAACACCAGUGGCGAAGGCGGCUUACCGGCGCUCAACUGACGCUCAUGCACGAAAGUGUGGGUAUCGAACAGGAUUAGAUACCCGGGUAGUC
rnacentral:rRNA from 1 species